GAUAGCCAAAAAUUCGAGUCGGGCUGAUAGUCGGUUCGGUAAUGACUCUGACAGAUGCAACUGCGGGAUCAUAAAGACCACCCCAGAAUAAAGCUUUUGCUACCAACAACCAAGCACCUGCACCUAAUAGAAGUAGGUGAAUGCCGAUGAUUGUGGUCAUCUUGUCUUCAUCUUCCCA
rnacentral:antisense_RNA from 1 species